GAAAUAUUCGCAGUAUAUAUAUAUAUAUAUAUAUAUGCGUGCUCCCCCUCCCUCUUCCUCUCACAUACACGCGCACACACACACCAUCAUCGCCACACGCUCUUGCUGCGUGACACGACUGUUUACUGCUCUCUCUGUGAGUAUCUAUAUCUGUGUUGGUGUAUUCUUUUCCUUCUAUGCCUGCCUCGCGUCACUGGCAAGGUGCUUGUGUCCGCCACGGUCUUUCAUGCACGGUUUCGCUCUUUCCCCACGCGACCCGCUCCUUCGCCCCGAAACGAACGACACGGAUAAAAUCAACGAAAAGGCAAGAGAGAAAAAAACGGACGCAAAGGGCUGCAUCAGCACGAGCGAAGGCACGAACGUGAAUGGGAAACAUUUCUUUGUAAGUAAUAAGCAGGAUAGCAUGUCCCUGUCACUCUCGGAAGGCCUGAAGCGCCGCCGCGAGGAGCACCAACUCGCCAUGCAACUGCAGUGCGAUGACCAGCCCUGUCAUCGGUGCUCCCGCACUGAUGCGUGGUCAUUUGAGAUCAGCGGCUGCCCCCCGUAUGCAGUCGACCAUGGUGGGCGCGCAGACACGGAGAGGGUGCAAAGAGACGACUACGUGCGCGUACCGUCGUCCCCAUCAUCGUCGUCGAUAAGGGGAAUUCAUGAAAGCAGCAUCACUACCAGCACGGACUGCCACCUCUGCCCCUACGCCGCAUCAGCGCACCGCCUCAGUGCCACGGCGGCUCUCUCUUCCGCAAAAUUGUCUCCGUCGUGUCGGUUGUCGUGGCGCGCGCACAAUGACAGCAAGAUGACGCUCACGCUUCGUUCAAUCCGUGUCUCGGUUGUGCGUGGAGACAGCGGCCGUCGGUGCUCAUUCCUCAUCCAGCCAACGUUUGCGUACACUUGGCACCGCCGCAGCACAUAUAACGGCAGCGUUGACGGGGCGCAGGCAGGGAUCGAGCUGCAGGAGACUGUGAGGUGCCGAGUCAGCUCAUCCAUUGUGACCCAAAGCAACAGCGCGACUGUCGGGCCAGCGACGGCCACAAACAAAAUCGCGUCCUCCACCUCGGGCUCGGCAACGACGCCGGGAGCGGCUACGACGGUCAGCCUCUUUGAAGGGUAUCCAGGCCAUCUCUGCCACAACGAGGAGGCGUCGAGCUCGGCUCUAAGGUCCGACGUGCCCGGCGACGUCUUUGGUGACGGCUACACGUACGAAGCAACACAGAUUUCACGCUGUCGUUCUAUCCCGAUGAGCUUGGCAGGGCUAGAGGAGAGCGCCAGCAGCCUGGGUAGCUGCAGCCCUGCCCUCUUCGUCGACUGCCUCAUCAAAUGCGCGCAGGAUGAAGCGGCCGUCGCCUUGGAUGACCGCCAUGGAUGGGUGCAUCUCUAUCGCGGCCGCCAUAUCGCGACAGAGGUUGGGCGUACGCGCCUUUUGACGGACGUCUUAGCACUUGGCUACUUUGGCGCCGCAUCUGCUAGCCCAAUACCGUCGUGUAGCGAGCCACCAUCGCUGACCAUAUGCGUGUUCCGAAAAUGCUGAGCGUCGCCGUAACACCGACUCAUUCAAGUGUUCACCCGUAUGGCUGCAUGUGUGUGCGUGUGUUCCCCUGGGCACCUCCGUGCUUACACAUACAGCUACGCAAGCAAGGAAGGCCUUGGGCUUUUGAGGGGGCAAGACGAGGCAACGUGCGGUCUGGAACGAAGAUGUACAUGAGCGAGCACGCAUCUUCCAGGAUAAGUGCUGUAGCGUGGUGGACCCGCCCCCUCCUCUCCCCCACCCUCCGCGAUGACAGAGGCCCGCGACAUCAUCAGAUCCGCAUAUGCGUCUACAUGUGUGUGUGUGUGUGUGUGCGUAUGUGCACUGAAGCCCCGUCCUCUCACCACCAUCGCCUUUUCUCUCCCUUCAUGUUCAUUCUCACGCACGCACACACGCACACACCUGUGCCCCCUCCCCCUUCCUUUCUUUCUCUCGCACUCACGUGACGUGCUGGGCGCUGGGGUGAUUGGGUUAGCCGCAGCAGACGCAGCACCGGUACCAGCAGCCCUCCAACGCGAGCACUGGACAAUUACCUGUGUCGCCCUCACGUUUCCGUUAUUGCCUUCACUGCAG
rnacentral:misc_RNA from 1 species